GGAUGUGAGGGUGAUCUACUGGCCAGGGUUGAUUUAGCUGAACUGGCUGGGUGGGUGAGUGUCCCCCUCCUCCUUCAUUGGUCCACGUAUAUCCCUCCUCAAGCUGUGCACUCAGUGGAAGAGAAUGACCUUGCCUAAUAGAGGAAGGAUGGUCUUCAGUCGAAGGUUAUCUUACCUGAUCUCCCCUGAUGGAAACUUCAAACACACUGUCAAAGCAAUAGGGAGUAAGGCAGACAGCCACCUCACAUGCUGCUGCU
rnacentral:snRNA from 1 species